GUAGAAUAUCAUCCUCCUUUCUUUCUUCCAACUAUUAGUCCAUCAGGAAAACAUGGCGAAAAUCUUUCUUUGUAGGAGGUGACAUUUUCUGCUGAGAAUCUCUUAGAGACACCCUGCUCAUCAUCAUUAAUGUGCUCUGAUUUACAUUCAGGCUCUUCCUAUCCUGAAUAUGUUCCCAACAUCAAUCUGUCUGUACAGUCUUGAAAAAAGAAUUUAAGUUACCAAGUUAGUGCAUACAUUAGCUUUCUCUUACUGGAAGCAGACACUUAAAAAGAGGAACUUUUGCUGCUUUGCUUCUGGUUCUGUGCCAAGGCAACAGGGCAUGAUGGGAACAGGUUAAAGAGCAAAUCUUCUCAACUCCUGGCUGCCAGGAAGCCAGUGAGAGGAAGAGGCCAGGGAAAAGGUCCUGCUGAGCCUUGAAGGGCACAGCCCCAAUGACCUCAUUCCCUCCUGGUAGGUCCCACCUCCCACAGGAUCCACCACUACAUACUAUGGCUAUGCCACAGAGAAACUCCUGUAUCAUGUGGACUUUUGGUAUAUCAUCUAAGUUCUCCGAUUCCUAGCUGGGGUGAAUGGCACAUCUAUGUAAUAUCAUCCCUCAGGAGGGUGAGGAUGGACAGAUGUGAGAAGUUUGAGGACAGCCUGAGAUACAUAGUGAUUGUGGCCUCAAACUCUCAGCCAUCCUCCUGCCUCAGCUUCUUGAGUGCUACUAUUACAUCAUGGGCCAGGACACUAGGCCUCUUUUAACUUGUUUGAGGAAAGUCCUAGGGCCCUGGGAAGAGAGGCCAAAGAUCCCUGAAGGCAGAAUUCUGCAUGAUGAAGUCUAUGCCUUGUGCGGGUUGCUGGAAGACAUGUCCAGGGAUGAAAGUACCAAGUAACCUUCACACAGAGCCUAAAGAACAGACAGCCUUAACAUCAACAGAUACCAGAAAUGGAUUAAAGCAAAAUUUAGAAUCCCAGUGUGGAAUUCACCUGAAUGUCCCAUUAUGAAUAAAUGGCUAUGACAAUAUCUGUCAUCUAUCUACACAGUAGACAGUUAUACCUUCCUCAGAAAGGACGGCACUCUGACAUCCUGCACUCUCAAGGGACCCUGAGGACAUUGUGCUAAGAGGAAGAAGGCAGACACCAAAGACACACGUGGUCUGAGUCCACAGGACUGCUAGGCAUACAAGGAUCCCAGCGCUGUCCAUUCAUAGGGACAAUGGGAGAACACUGCUUCCCAGAGGCUGUGAGAAGAGACUGGGCAUCCAUGGUUUCAUGGGGUAGAGUUUCUCUUCAGGUGGAGGAAACAAUUCCAUAGAUGCAUAGAGGGCUGGCUGUACAACAGAAGCAAUAGACAUUCACGUGCUACAUAUUAUAUUUUGGCCAGUGAUGGACCACAGAGACAUAGUGCUUAUAUGAGAUGGUUUCACCUCCUGCCCUGCUAGUUCUUAGAGCUGGGUGAGUUCAUUCUACCAGGUUGGCACAAUGACAGUUUCAAUGGAUUGCCCCUUUCCCAGAACACAUUCCCAUCAUUAUUUCCAUACCGGGGAAGGGAAUAGGAAAAGACAGGAUGUGGGACAAGGAGAGCCCCAUCAGUCAAAAAUCUGUGGGGCUGGUAGGAAGGAGGGGUUAGAACAUGUGUUCCCAGGAUGCACAGGGGAAGCAGAGACUCAAGUAGAGCUUCCUUUCACACACCUGUGACAAUGUGUCUACAACAGGUGGAGUUUGGAAGGAAGGGAACAAUGGACCCUGCAAGGAGAACUGAAAGCAGAUGGAGAACAGCAAAGGUCUGUUGAUGGCAUCCAACUUCUGUCCUUAGGCCUCUGGCCGGAAAAGGAAGAGAGGCUGUGGGAGUCAGAAGAUGAGUGGCAGAUGGACCUGCUGGGUCUUUUUGAUCCAGUCCCUCGAUUAGCACUCUACUUCCUGCCUCUGGCCAGAAGAAGCAGAAAGACUGGUCCAUAGAAGUGGAGAACUAUGAGGAGGAGGACAUGUCUGGGUUUUUUUACUUAGCCUAUACGGUAAACCCCCAGCUCUCACCUCAGUCCCCUGGCCAAAAAAAGAAAGUGGGAAUGAUUAUUUGGGUCUAGGAAGAAAUCACAGGAGGCACUGGGCAACCUGGUCUGGGCCCUCAGUGCAUAGGGCUCAUGGAGUUCCCAUAUGGACUCCAAAUGACCCUGAGAGGAAGCAUCUAUGGUCAGUGCUGCUUGAGCACCACCAGGAACCAGGCUGUUAGGUAAGCAGACCUCAGACUGCACCUCCAACAAGGUUCUUUAAGAACAGAAGAAAAGUGCAAUUACUUCCUUUUCCCAUCAAAGGGAGGUCACUGUGAGGCAGGAGCUCUCCUUCCCAGAGGACUCUGGCCCCAUCCAUCCUCAGGGACAUGGAAAUGACACAACUUACACAUGUGUUAAAAUGUUCCCCCAUUGUGAUCAGAAAGCCUGGUUACAGCACCUUCCUGUUCAACAGAACUCUUGCUGACUCUUCUCAGUGCAAAUGGUUUCAGCCCUAAAUGUGUGACCGGGACACCUUCAUUCCCAAAUGUGUAUCUCAGAGGAGAAAAGAACCCUCAUGCUUUCUGAGUUUGAAAGUGAUAUAUUCAUAUGUCAUGAGGCCACCAUGGUAUGUUCAAAGCUCCUAAUAAUGCAGGUAUUUGCUGCUACCCAGCCUCUAACUCAGUAGUUCCUCCAGGAUUCUGAGGGUUGAGCCCAUGUCCCCUGUCAAGUGAAUGUCCUCCUCCACCCUCUGCUCAUUUGUCUGCCCUCGGCCUCAUGCUGAACCUUUUGCCAGGCAGGCCCAGUUAUACUCCUCGUCUGCUUGCCCCAUGAGAAACCCUGUGCCAGUCCCCAAGGUGAUGCUCUGUUCUCUUCACACAGCAGACUGUGUUCAAGAGAUGCCUGGCCUGGUGCAAGAACCUCAGGUAACUAACAGAUUGAGCUCCUUUUCCCUUGAGCCAGGCUCUCACUAUGGCACGGCUUAGGGAGGAGAGAGGUCCUACCCCACAGUCCUUCUUCCAUGGCUGUCUUUGUGGGAAGCUCCCACAUGACAUUCCCCCAACUAUUCCCCCUUAGUUCUGGGGACCAUCUGCCUUCAGCUCCUGGGUUUUUUCUGGCAGGCUGGAUGUGUGCACCUUCCUCAGCCCGGGGCCUCUGGUAUCUGAAUGCAGGCCACCGUCUUCCCCAGACAUAGCUUCUCUGGGUGUUGGCAUCUUUAGUCCCUGACCCCUCUCCUAAUUCUCAAGAGCCCCUUUGCUAUAGCUUAGAAGACCCCCUUCUGAUCCUUGGAAGGGCCAUCCUAGGCAUCACAGCCUCCCUUUUCCUGACUGCUCUCAUCUGCAGACAACCUCCAGCCCCUUGACUUUCCAUGAAUAGCCAGGUGAUCCAACCCUGGGGUUCCACUCUGAGUGGAGCCCUGCCCCACCCCAGUCCCUGUCUGCACAUCCCUCUUCCAGGUGUGGCCACUCUCUGUGGUCCUCUCUCCCCAUCACUGCCUCAUCAGUGCUAAUUCAAAUAGUCAUCACUGACUAUUUCAACUGGGCAGGCCUCUUCCUCUGGCAGUACCAGAGGUUCCAAUGCUUCCUGGCUCCUUGAGUACUCUGCCUCCUCCCCACAGUCCACAGGAGAGUGGGGAGAAUGA
rnacentral:lncRNA from 1 species